CAGUCGCCACGGUAACACGUAGGUGACAAGCGUUGUCCGGAAUUAUUGGGCGUAAAGGGCUCGCAGGCGGUUUCUUAAGUCCGAUGUGAAAGCCCCCGGCUCAACCGGGGAGGGUCAUUGGAAACUGGGAAACUUGAGUGCAGAAGAGGAGAGUGGAAUUCCACGUGUAGCGGUGAAAUGCGUAGAGAUGUGGAGGAACACCAGUGGCGAAGGCGACUCUCUGGUCUGUAACUGACGCUGAGGAGCGAAAGCGUGGGGAGCGAACAGGAUUAGAUACCCCCGUAGUCCCUGUUUCUUAUAC
rnacentral:rRNA from 1 species